GAAGAUCAUAGGUCUGGUUUCGCACUUGAUAAAUGCUUACUGUUUCCUUCAGUUCUUUGAUGGUAUUGUGUGUGUGUGCACAGGCAUCUUCUUGGGAACAGGCAAACAGAAGAUUCCUGCUGUGGCCAACUUCCUUGGAUACUACGGCAUAGCACUUCCAAUCGGCGUUACUUUGACCUUUGUUGCAAAAAUGGGAAUAAUUGGUUUUUGGCUGGGACUACUCAUGUGUGUCAUUGUAUUAUCCACCUUCUACACCAUUGUCAUCUUCAAGCUCAACUGGAAGACAAUUACAGAGGAGGC